rnacentral:rRNA from 1 species
CGCGGUUAUACAAAUUAGGCUAAUUAAAAUUUUCGGAUUGUAUUAAUAUUUGUCUAAUUAUUAUUUAUACAAGUAUAAUUAAAGUGAAAUUUAUUAUAUUUAGAUAAUAAUUUAUUAUGAUAUAUACUAGAUUUUUAUUGAGACCGGGAUUAGAUACCCCGUUAUUUUAUAAUGUAAAAGUUUAUCCUUAGAAUUAUUUUUUAUUUCUUGUAAAUUAAAAAAAUUUGGCGGUAAUUUAAUUAAUUUAGAGGAACCUGCCCUGUAAUUGAUAGUCCACGAUAAAUUUCACUUUAAUUAUACUUGUAUACCUCUGUCAUGAAUAAUUUAUAAGAAAAUUUUCUUUUUUUUUAUGUAAAUAAUGUCAGGUCAAGGUGCAGUUAUAUUGAAGUAGAGGUGGGUUACUUUUAUUUAGUUUAUGGUAAAUUAUUUUGGAAUAUUAAUUUUAAAUUGGAUUUAAUUGUAAUUUCUAUUAAAAUGUAGUUUUGAUUUUUAUUAAAUUAUGUACAUAUUGCCCGUCACUCUCGCUUAAUUCGAGAUAAGUCGUAACAAAGUAGGUUUACCGGAAGGUGUGCCUAGAAUGGU